GAUGAACGCUGGCGGCGUGCCUAAUACAUGCAAGUCGAGCGAACAGAUGAGGAGCUUGCUCCUCUGACGUUAGCGGCGGACGGGUGAGUAACACGUGGAUAACCUACCUAUAAGACUGGGAUAACUUCGGGAAACCGGAGCUAAUACCGGAUAAUAUAUUGACCCGUAUGGUUCAAUAGUUAAAGACGGUUUUGCUGUCACUUAUAGAUGGAUCCGCGCCGCAUUAGCUAGUUGGUAAGGUAACGGCUUACCAAGGCAACGAUGCGUAGCCGACCGGAGAGCGUGCGCCAGCACGCUGGAACUCAGACGCGGUCCCAACUCCUACGCGAGGCAGAAGUAGGGACUCUUCCGCAAUGGGGCGAAACCUAGCGCAGCAGCGCCGCGUGAGUGAUGAAGGUCUUCGGACCCUAACACUCUGUUAUUAGGGAACAACAAAUGUAUACGUAACAAUGCGCGUCUUGACGGUACCUCAUCAGAAAGCCACGGCUAACUACGUG
rnacentral:rRNA from 1 species